ACCGUUCACCUAUGACCUUUCACCUGCCAACCCAUCUAAACUCUCCUCCCCGUAGUUCAGUUGACGCUCCAUUAAGGGCCCAGGUGUGGUCUGUGCUGCUGGAGAUAUUUCCCCUUUACCCACCUAAUGACACUUCACCAGUUAUAUGGACUGAGCGGGUGUGUCCCCGUUUGGGGUGGAAAGCGAAUCCCAGCCGGUUGACAGAAGGGGAGGCAGCUGCCGUCACUGCCUCAGUCUUUCCCCUGAUGAGUCCUUCUGUGGGAAAGUGCUGCCUUCUACUGGUUUGCUGUGGAACUAACGUGAAGAGGCUUUCUAGUUCUAUCUCCGUCAAACUGCAUUACGGCCAUUGCUGUUCGUACGGGUCGGGGUACUGCAUACUUUAUCUUGAAAUUCCUAGCACACCAAAGGCCUCUGAGUUGAAAUGUACUGUCUCUGUGUUAUAUACAGCUCCGGGAAAAAUGAAGAGACCGCUGCACCAUUUUCUUUCCUUUCCAAAAAAGUUAGAAAGGUACGUUUUGAGGGAGGAACAGAAGCGUUCAAUUUGCAGGGGUCUCUUAGUUUUUUCUGGAGCUGUAUCUCUAUAUCAAACCUUUGGUUCCACAGCCAGGCUGUCUACCCACUGGUCUAAAUGAGGUUUUAGCAGGGGCGAGUAAUGGCCUUACCAAAGUCAAACUAUAUGCGUGUGUAUAUAUAUAUAUCAGGGAUGUGAUUUUUCCGGAUUAAUCCGGAAUUCCGGAUUUUCCGACCUGAAAAUGUGACUUACGUGAAUCAUGCAGAUCUGUAAAAAAAAAUGGGAGGGGGGACCUCACAGCCAUCACCGCAAUCUUCAUCUUUCUUUAACCGGCAGCGUCGCUGAGCAGAGGGUGUGUGUGUGUGUGUGCGUGCGUGUGUGCGUGUGUGUGCGUGUGCGUGUGUGUUCAUCUGAGCCAAUUGGUCUGUCACUGCUCCGUCAAUGUCGGAAUAUUUGCGAUGAUCACGUAUUUGCGUACAGCUUGUUCACCUGCUCAAUUUCUCUGCUGAGUAGUAAUUUACCUCAGUCGCUCUCGCUCGACUACAGUGACAAGAACAUCGCUGGAUCGGAUGAUCUGAGCGUUUUAGACGGCUUGGAUCCGCGGGGAUCGCUCUGUCAAUUCAUAUUUGCAGUCACGUCACAACCAUGCUUCCAACCUAAGUGUUGAGACAUAUGAGUCCUAUCAAGUGGUCAAAUACAACCUGAAGGCCAUGCAGGUGUCGGCCAUUCAGCACUACUCCCGGAAGACAAAGGAGAGUCCUGUUAAUUUAAAGCUGUGCAGAAAUGUAAAACUAUCAAGCCAAAGGUACAGAGCUCUGCUCAGAAAUAAAGAAGAACUGAACAAAAGGCCUUAUCACUCUGCGAAGCCAACGGCCAGCAAGA